rnacentral:lncRNA from 1 species
AAGUCGUGCCGUUUCUGUCUCUGGUUGUGAAACUGCAUGUUUUCUUUUUAGGGAAUGUUUUGUAAAGUAGGUUUGUUUGUGUAGGUGGGAGGACCAUAUAUUCCUUUGAAGACAGGAAGGAGAGAUGGACUUAAAAGCAGGACCGAUAUGCUUGAGUCAUAUCUUCCCGACCACAACGAGAGUAUCUCCGUCGUUCUUGACAAGUUCAAAUCCAUCGGAAUCGACACUCCCGGCCUCGUUGCUCUCCUAGGUACCUUUACCUUUCUCUUCCUUGUUUGUCACUCACUAGUCUCGGGUAAAAACGUAUCGCUCGAAAUUCGAAACUGUUGACCAUCCAAGAAAUGUUGUUGGCUUGUUGCUAACGCCUUAGUUCAAGGGUAUUUUAGUUAAUUUCCUCAUGCAUUAAAAUGAAACCAUUUAAGCUAAUCUUGUCAAAUCACGAAAGUAGUAUGCUAUCUGAGUCGGAAAGUUGAAAGUUAUCCUUACCGAACUAUCACUAGUCCUCAGAAAAAGACAAAUUUAUUCUUGUUUAUGCUCCGGCUCAAUGGUCUAGCAGAAGGUUAUUCUGGUCAAUCAACUCAUGCAUGCUUAAAAAUAGUAAUCAAACUAAUUGACUUUACACUUAUGGGAUCUGAAUUUAGGCGAUCGGAAUUUAAGUUUCUUGUUAGAUUUUUUAAGCUUCGAUAUUGAAAGAUUUUGACUUUUUGUUUUGACACGUGCAGGGUCACAUAGCGUGGGAAGAACUCACUGUGUCAAGCUGGUCCAUCGUUUGUACCCUGAGGUGGAUCCGUCCUUGAACCCGGACCACGUCCCUCACAUGCUACAUAAGUGUCCUGACUCUAUCCCUGACCCAAAGGCGGUCCAGUACGUGCGUAACGACCGUGGUACCCCCAUGGUGCUAGACAACAAUUACUACCGUAACAUC